UAUGAAUGCCUUAGGAUCUGGGAUGG
rnacentral:piRNA from 2 species